rnacentral:rRNA from 1 species
AUUGAACGCUGGCGGCAUGCCUUACACAUGCAAGUCGAACGGCAGCACGGGAGCUUGCUCCUGGUGGCGAGUGGCGAACGGGUGAGUAAUACAUCGGAACGUACCCUGAAGUGGGGGAUAACGUAGCGAAAGUUACGCUAAUACCGCAUAUUCUGUGAGCAGGAAAGAGGGGGAUCGCAAGACCUCUUGCUUUAGGAGCGGCCGAUGUCGGAUUAGCUAGUUGGUGAGGUAAAGGCUCACCAAGGCGACGAUCCGUAGCGGGUCUGAGAGGAUGAUCCGCCACACUGGGACUGAGACACGGCCCAGACUCCUACGGGAGGCAGCAGUGGGGAAUUUUGGACAAUGGGCGCAAGCCUGAUCCAGCCAUGCCGCGUGAGUGAAGAAGGCCUUCGGUUGUAAGACUCUUCGUGGGAGAAUGUCACAGGAUAAUACCUU